AUGAUAUACUGGUAUUCACUGGGACUUUGGAAGAACACUUGCAACAUUUGCAAGAAGUAUUUGAUAUACUCAAGGAGAACAACUUGUUUGUUAAGGAAAGCAAAUGUGCCUUUGCUCAGCAGUCAAUGGAGUAUCUGGGCCACAUUAUUACUGAUGCAGGAGUCACCACUGAUCCUGCCAAGACAGCUGCUAUGGUGGACUGGCCCACUCCAACUAAUGUUACUGAGUUGA
rnacentral:rRNA from 1 species